UCCUCCACAGACAGGACUUUAGCAAAGCCAAAAAGCAAUCCAGUGACUGAGCCUGAAGCACCCCCACCUCCAAAUCCCAGGACACCCAAAGCCCCCAGAGGAGCUAGUGUGAUGAAGUAUUUAAGAGCAUGAACUUUAAGAUUAAACAGACCCAAAUUUGAGUCUCACCAGGUGGCUUCUCUCCUGCACGAAGUGCUUCCUAACUCCUGAGGAAAGGGUCCUGUCCUCCAGUUGGGCCUCCUUACAACAGGCCACUCACCCAACUCCCCUUCUUUCAGCCUGUCCUGAGACUCUGAUCAAUUAGGUACUGUUAAUAUAGCAGUGCCAUUUCUUGAACAUUGGGGGCAGUGGAAUCCAACGUUUAAGAGAAUGUGCUGAAGUCAGACACAGGGAGUUCAAAUCUCAGCUCCCGUUACCAUAGUCAUAUGUUUCCUCCCUGUAACCUGAGUAUAAUAGAAUCUACCUCCGAUUGCUGUGAGAGCUAAACAAGAUACACAGUGCCUGGGCUCACGAAAAGCAUUCUUAAGUUAGCCAUCGUUGAGUUCCUGCCAUGCACCAAAUCACAAACACGUCAGGCAGUAGGCAUUCUUUAGUUUACCCGGGAGGGAACUGAAGCUCAGAGGGGUUGAGUAACUUGCCUGUGAUCAUUACGUAAAUGACAAAGGUGGCUUGAAACCCAGGUCCUGCCAGAGAUUCCAUAGCAUUCCUGCUGUGAUGUUAAUAUGCCAAGUAACUCAGCAAAGCAGGCUGGCAGGGCCUCUGCACUGUCUGUGUUUAGCACUCCUACUCCAAACCCAGCACAUCACACCACAGAAAGAGAGAGAGCCUUUGUGGUGGGGAAUAGUUCCAUUAACAGUCCUUGGACUUGACUCUCAGUUGCUGCUCCAGCAAUAAGUAAGUUUAGGAGCAAGAAUGAAACUCUACAAAGCAGGCUUGCAAAUAACUUUCUAGCCCACUUCCCCACCAGGAAGUCUCU
rnacentral:lncRNA from 1 species